rnacentral:rRNA from 1 species
AGAACGAACGCUGGCGGCAUGCCUAAUACAUGCAAGUCGAACGAACACUUCGGUGUUAGUGGCGCACGGGUGCGUAACGCGUGGGAAUCUGCCCUUGGGUUCGGAAUAACAGUUGGAAACGACUGCUAAUACCGGAUGAUAUCGAAAGAUCAAAGAUUUAUCGCCCAGGGAUGAGCCCGCGUAGGAUUAGCUAGUUGGUGAGGUAAAGGCUCACCAAGGCGACGAUCCUUAGCUGGUCUGAGAGGAUGAUCAGCCACACUGGGACUGAGACACGGCCCAGACUCCCACGGGAGGCAGCAGUAGGGAAUAUGGACAAUGGGCGCAAGCCUGAUCCAGCAAUGCCGCGUGAGUGAUGAAGGCUUAGGGUUGAAAGCUCUUUACCGAGAUGAUAAUGACAGUAUCGGAAGUAAUAAGCCCCGUAUAACCGUCGUGCCAGCGACGCCGUAC